rnacentral:tRNA from 1 species
CCGGUGGUAGCUUAAUUGGAAAAGCGCUGGAUUGUGGGUCCAGAGAUCGAAGGUUCGAUUCCUUCCCCCGGU